rnacentral:rRNA from 1 species
CUUGCUUCUCUUGAGAGCGGCGGACGGGUGAGUAAUGCCUAGGAAUCUGCCUGGUAGUGGGGGAUAACGUUCGGAAACGGACGCUAAUACCGCAUACGUCCUACGGGAGAAAGCAGGGGACCUUCGGGCCUUGCGCUAUCAGAUGAGCCUAGGUCGGAUUAGCUAGUUGGUGGGGUAAUGGCUCACCAAGGCGACGAUCCGUAACUGGUCUGAGAGGAUGAUCAGUCACACUGGAACUGAGACACGGUCCAGACUCCUACGGGAGGCAGCAGUGGGGAAUAUUGGACAAUGGGCGAAAGCCUGAUCCAGCCAUGCCGCGUGUGUGAAGAAGGUCUUCGGAUUGUAAAGCACUUUAAGUUGGGAGGAAGGGUUGUAGAUUAAUACUCUGCAAUUUUGACGUUACCGACAGAAUAAGCACCGGCUAACUCUGUGCCAGCAGCCGCGGUAAUACAGAGGGUGCAAGCGUUAAUCGGAAUUACUGGGCGUAAAGCGCGCGUAGGUGGUUUGUUAAGUUGGAUGUGAAAUCCCCGGGCUCAACCUGGGAACUGCAUUCAAAACUGACUGACUAGAGUAUGGUAGAGGGUGGUGGAAUUUCCUGUGUAGCGGUGAAAUGCGUAGAUAUAGGAAGGAAC